AGCCGACUAAGAUCAAGUACAUCAUAAUGUCAGAGGAAUACAGGUGUUCAUGUAAGGCUUCCUAAAACCACAAAAUGAACUCCUGCAUGGAAAUGGAGAAAUGGAUUGACGGGAAACAGAAUAACUCAUUUCCUGCAAAAUGUUUCCACAGCCAUCAGAUGGCAUCAAACAAUGAGACACAAAAAGAUGGAGAGAAAGAGUACAAGAGGGAGAAGUUGUGAGAGAGAAAUUGCAACAGAAAAGGAGACCCAACAUACUUCCUCCAUGCCCCCUUGUGCCCUAUGGACCCUGCAUCCUGCUCUGCUGUGACUCUGAUGAAAAGCAGGCCGCAAUCCCUUUCAAUUUGGCCAGUGUGCCCCAGUCCUGUUAAAGGCAAUCGACUGGCUGAACAGAGGCACUAUAUCACAAUAUGCAGGUGCAGACGAGCCCGGCAGAGGAGAGAGCAGAGACAUGGCGCCUUAGGAGAGAGAAAGGGACUCUGGCAUCCAUCUCUCUCACACUUAGGCUGACGUUCAACCAUGGGGGAGAAACACACACUCACAGACACACACACACACAAACACAGUCUGGGGCCGUGCAGCAGUGGGAGAGCAAGAAAACGAGAGGUGAGAGAGAAAAGAAAAGUGGAGGAAAAAUGGGACCCGUCACUUCCUUCAUUUUUUUCCUUCUCACUUCAGGUAAAAAAAGAGGAUAGAAUAAAAGAAAAAAAAGAAAAUAUAUUUUGUGCAACUGGGGAGUGGGGUGGUGAAGAAAAAGACCUGUCUGGAAUAGAGCAAGGUGUUUGUUUGUGGUGGGUAAAUGCCUGCGUAGGCGUGGGGAGGCCAGUGGCUUGGCUAGAGCCGUUUGUUAUCGGGGGUCUCCAGGCCCCCCAGGCGUGCCGAGCUGCUGGCCCGAGUCAGAGGGGCUGAGCCUGGGGUAGGGUGAAGAGUCAGAGCCCUUGCCCAAGGAUGGGUGAGAGGCCAAUAGACUGGAAAGAGCAACAAAGGCCUGCAGAGGAAUGGAAAUACCACAUAACACAUGAAAGAUCUGAUUCACCCCACAAAUAUUCAGUUUAUUAACAUUCCCUGCUAUUUCCUGCCUAGAGUGUAAUUAAGCAUCUCGUGCCCAAGUGGGCCAACCAAGCGAUGUAGCUAAUAUACUGUAUUACUGUAGACUGCAUAUAAAUCUCUACUCUUCUAGGCACCAUAGAGGACAUCAGUGAGUGCUGUACAUUGAUACUGAGGACUUCUGAUACACACUUAGCAUGUAAGAGCAUAAAGCGUUCAUACCCUCUCAACCUCUCGAGAGGAACACUGGGGAAACGGAAGCUGAGAGCUCAGAGUAGCUCAGGUCAAGGAUUUGACAUCAUGUGACAUCUGAUCUGCUUCAUAGAGAAUUCCUAUCACAUGCAAUUGUUGAGUGGUGAGGUCUGUAACUCUAGGCAAGGAUAAAACUGCAGCAAGUCUGCAAUCAUACCGUUUAACCAUGACCUGUCAGUCAUCCUUGGCUUUCGGCUCCAGCUUAUCACUAAACAUAUUGGGUUGGAUCAAUCCUCUGUAUCUAGGAUUCAAAAGUAAUCUAACCCUGCAGAAAUACCAACCAAUAUACAUGCAACAUACAAAUUAGCUUGCAGCCGCACAUUAUUGCGUGCACAGACUGUGUUGUAUACAACGGCACAACUGCACAUACUUAAAGGGCAACUUGAGGUUGAAAUUUUUACUUAAUUUAAACUAUGGUUUAAGCUAUAUUGUUUUAAAAAUCCAGUUUAAAAAAAAAAAAAUUCCUACAAAUUAAUUAAUUGGGGAUCCCAAUCUAAAGGUGUCUCUUUAAAAACUAGGUUUUUAACAGUUUUUAAAGUCUGCCUCAAAACAAUACUUAAAUGCCCAUAUGUACAUUGAAAGUGUAAUUGUUCUUUCUGUCCAUUCCUUCUGUGAUGAAAUCCCUUCCUAAAGCAAUUUUAAUGAGUGAUCUACAGUCCUUAUUCAGUGCAAAAAUACAUUUAAAAGUUCAGCAAAAGCUAAUAUGAAGCUUCAGCAGUUUGAGUCAAACCAAGUGAAUAUCCUCCACAGUUACAGCCUUUUAAGUACCUCUUCUGUUAUUAUACCCCUGCCACAACUAACUGAAGUAAAGCUUCAUUCUAGCCAGGUUUCCAUCCAAAUGUAGCGCAAGUUUUAAAUUAAUAUCCAGUAAAUCGAAAAGAAAAUGCAAAUUAAUGCACAUUUCCAUCCACUACCAUUAUGCAAAUAUCAGGAAUCGGUUCAUUGAGAUAUAUAGUAGGUGGCACUAAUUCUCCAGUUGGGUACCAUUAACCCAUUGGAGAAGAAAAAAGCGCAACAAGAUGAUUUAUUUGAUAAGUUUGUUUCCAUUUCUCUUUGCUUUUAACAAUAGACCAACUUUUACACUUCAGCCAAGCACAGUCCCUCCAAACUAUUAACGCUCUCAGUGCUAUACAAGUUAUAGAACAACUUCAUCCCUUUACUCGCCAAGAGCUGUAUAAAGCAGUGGAAAGCAACGGCAAUGUUAACUCUGGUUUCUUGUUGUACUUCUUCAUCCUCCUAUGUUGGACUGAGGGCAGACUGGAUGCUACAGCGACUCACUAUCGCCUCAUGAGGUACAAAGUGGUAUCAUGAGACAGGUCGGUCUAGAACUUGCUGGUUAGCACGCUAACUUCUGUAGAUAUCUAUGCAACACAAUACAUAGAUGUCUUCGACAUUACGUCAAAACUGUUAUUUCUUUAUAUUCUGUUGAUAAUUUUAGUAAUUUUUUACUAACUAAAAUUCUUGUAUAUAGCUCUUUAAUGCCAGCUGAGGGGCACAAAAACAUGCAUAUUCACAUGUACGCGUGUGUCUUGACACACACUAACAAACAUAACCCCACACCUGAAGUGAACAGGCCAAACUUUAUUCUUUACAAGUAACUUUUGACAAGUUCCCCUCCACAUCCUGGAGUUGUAUUCAGACGUGCUAGAAGGGAGUGCUGGAGAGCAGUCAUGUAGAAAGAGAAUGCUGUUACUGGAGUUAUUAACAGGCUCCUGUGUUUCCCUCCUCUCAGCUGAGCUAUUCAGAGCAUAGCGUCCUCAUCUGCCACAAACACAUGCCGACACACAGACGCAGCAGACGGACACACAGUGCACUCCUCUACGCGCUGCGCAGUAAUAUGUUUUUUGCCCAUUUACAACAAAUUAAGUUUCCCUCAAAGUGAAUUUCAAGCUUGGCUGCCUUUGGAGGGCGAGCAACUCUCUUUUCAUUAAUUUUCAUUCUUUUCCCCCAAACAAAUGAUCUACUGUACAGCCUGCUCUGCGUUACUCUCCUCUCCGUCUUUUCCUUUCUCUUGUUUUCUCCCCUCUUUGCCUUCUUUUUCCUGCUUGCUGGUAAAUUUGGGCCAGGCAAUGGAAAGCAAUUACACUGUCAGAAAGGUGUAUUCUGAUUUAUUAAAAGCCUUGAAUGCUA